ensembl:lncRNA
GAAAAAAAAGAGAGUCUAUAUACAUUGUGUACAAAAGGCAUGAGGAGGUAGGCGAAUAAUUGCAAUUUUGCAGAUUAACACUGGAGUGAUAAAUGAUCAGAUGGUCAUGUACAGGUAGAGAUAUUGGUGUGCAAAAUAGCAGAAAAGUAAAUAAAUAAAAACAGUAUGGGGAUGAGGUAGGUAAAAUUGGGUGGGCCAUCUACCGAUAGACUAUGUACAGCUGCAGCGAUCGGUUAGCUGCUCAGAUAGCAGAUGUUUGAAGUUGGUGAGGGAAAUAAAAGUCUCCAACUUCAGCGAUUUUUGCAAUUCGUUCCAGUCACAGGCAGCAGAGAACUGGAAUGAAAGGCGGCCAAAUGAGGUGUUGGCUUUAGGGAUGAUCAGUGAGAUACACCUGCUGGAGCGCGUGCUACGGGUGGGUAUAGAGGUAUGGGACUGUAGGUGGAGGUAAAGAGGUAUGGGACUGUAGGUGGAGGUAUAGAGGUAUGGGACUGUAGGUGGAGGUAGAGAGGUAUGGGACUGUAGGUGGAGGUAAAGAUCAAAUCAAAUCCAAUUUAUUUAUAUAGCCCUUCGUACAUCAGCUGAUAUCUCAAAGUGCUGUACAGAAACCCAGCCUAAAACCCCAAACAGCAAUCAAUGCAGGUGUAGAAGCACAGUGGCUAGGAAAAACUCCCUAGAAAGGCCAAAACCUAGGAAGAAACCUAGAGAGGAACCAGGCUAUGUUGGGUGGCCAGUCCUCUUCUGGCUGUGCCGGGUGGAGAUUAUAACAGAACAUGGCCAAGAUGUUCAAAUGUUCAUAAAUGACCAGCAUGGUCGUAUAAUAAUAAGGCAGAACAGUUGAAACUGGAGUAGCAGCACGGUCAGGUGGACUGGGGACAGCAAGGAGUCAUCAUGUCAGGUAGUCCUGGGCCAUGGUCCUAGGGCUCAGGUCCUCCGAGAGAGAGAGAUAAAGAGAGAAAGAGAGAAUUAGAGAACGCACACCUAGAUUCACACAGGACACCGAAUAGGACAGGAGAAGUACUCCAGAUAUAACAAACUGACCCUAGCCCCCCGACACAUAAACUACUGCAGCAUAAAUACUAGAGGCUGAGACAGGAGGGGUCAGGAGAGGUAUGAGACUGUAGGUGGAGCUAAAAUGGUAUGGGACUGUAGGUGGAGGUAAAAUGGUAUGGGACUGUAGGUGGAGGUAGAGAGGUAUGUGACUGUAGGUGGAGGUAGAGAGGUAUGGGACUGUAGGUGGAGGUAGAGAGGUAUGUGACUGUAG